GACGAACGCUGGCGGCGUGCUUAACACAUGCAAGUCGAACGGAAAGGCCCUGCUUGCCGGGUACUCGAGUGGCGAACGGGUGAGUAACACGUGGGUGAUCUGCCCUGCACUUCGGGAUAAGCCUGGGAAACUGGGUCUAAUACCGGAUAGGAGCCAUUUUUAGUGUGAUGGUUGGAAAGUUUUUUCGGUGUAGGAUGAGCUCGCGGCCUAUCAGCUUGUUGGUGGGGUAAUGGCCUACCAAGGCGGCGACGGGUAGCCGGCCUGAGAGGGUGGACGGCCACAUUGGGACUGAGAGACGGCCCAGACUCCUACGGGAGGCAGCAGUGGGGAAUAUUGCACAAUGGGCGCAAGCCUGAUGCAGCGACGCCGCGUGGGGGAGGACGGCCUUCGGGUUGUAAACUCCUUUCGCUAGGGACGAAGCUUUUUGUGACGGUACCUAGAGAAGAAGCACCGGCUAACUACGUG
rnacentral:rRNA from 1 species